rnacentral:miRNA from 1 species
UGUGCCUAGUCGUACUUUGAU